ensembl:lncRNA
CUUUGCUCCUUAACCGCUGGGCUGGCUUCUGCUCAGCUCUGCAGGUGGAUACGCUGCUCACUAGAAACAUUUUGUCCAGGUCCUGAUCCAGGGUCACCUUGACCUGGACUGGUCUGCCUCUCCCCCCUGCUAGGUUUCUCUCUAGGGGACCUCUAGGAGAAGGGCAGAACUCAGACAGCCAGACACUGCGGUCCUGAGGUGGGACAAGAGGAAUAAAGAUACAACAAGCUUGGGCAACUCUCUUUCACCUGCAAAUUGGCUCUUUUCGCCUGUGAAUGGCACUUAUCCUCAAGGAAGCAGCACUGUAGUGGACAGUGGCUCUCAACUUCAAACCCAGCGGGCAGGAGCUGAUGCUGGUCGACUGCUGGAGACAGAGGAAGCCGAAUCCUCAGGUUCUGCUUGGCCUCUCUGAACAGUGUUCCCUCCCCAAGAACAGCCAGGACCCCUCCUGAAGUGGAGUCUUGUGACCUUCUCGAGGUAGGUAGAGAAUUGCGCAGGCCCAGUUCUUACCCAGAGGAGCGGGAACACGUGCGAAGCUGUUUCACUGUCUCCACGGUGUGGGGAUGUGUUGAGGAGCUCAGCUUUACCUCACUGCGCACUCUGGAUUUCAC